rnacentral:lncRNA from 1 species
GAACCUAAAUUUAAUGAUCAAAUUAAAUGCGAAAAUAAAAAAAAUUAAAGACUAAGAUAAAAAAAAAUCAAAUUCAAAAACAAAAUGUUUCUUAAAUAAAUAAUAAAUUCAAGUGGAGCAGGUAAAAUAAAGGGAAUGAAUAAUGACAAAUUCGAAUCACAACAUGAUAUCAAUCCGAUCUACUCACACCCGAAGGAGGUAUAAUAAACCCUAAAAAUCAACACAAAAAUACAAC